AUAUUUACUGUUUUUUUACAUCCGUGUGUGUAAUGCAGUCGUGUAAAAAAUCAUGGCAUGCAAGUUCCCCAUUCUGCUUAUGAGCUAAUACGGUAUAUGAUUAUUGCCAACAAAACGUAAAUGAUGACAGUCUGCAUUCUGCUUGCGUGAUGUUGUACGAUUUGUGUAUUUGUAGUACUACCAGUAGCAUCACAAAUAAUUUUCCGCAUUCGAUGCCUUUUUGCAUUUCGCAGUUUCGCCGAUGCUCGAUUUUGUUUCGAUUAAGGCCAGAGCAGUUAUUUCAUUGCUGUGAUAGUGGGAAUUCUGAAUGAUACCAAAAUUAUUUCGUUUUGGAUGAUGCCGUGAAAAUCUGUCAGAAAUUCUACAAAUGGCGCAAACGUACUUCCGCUGUAACUGGCGUUGCUUCUUCAAGACUGAAAAAUGAUGCACAGGCAGCACAGCAACCCUUUUGCGGAGAUGGGAUCACUCGUUAUUCUUUUAAAGCAGCGUUUUUUAACCCUGAGCGUUCUAUUUAAUUGUGGCAGCUGCGUAAUUCAGGUCUACAGAUUAGACAACGGAACGGUUUCUUUGGAUUCGUCGACUGGUUAUACGAUUUUCAAUGAGCAGCACUCAGUUUUGGGACAACGGGAUAUCUCCGUCCCGAUCUAUUUGAGAACAGAAAAUGUGGAGCUUUGUAAGGCAACAGGACCUUCUUCGUUUCUCCCAUGGCGUCAUAUGUUUUUAAUAACGGAUGACGAAAUAUGCUCAACGAAAACAGGCAGAUCUCUACGACGCCAAUCCAAACCAGUUGGAGAUGCCCGAUUAAAUGAGGCGAAUGGAAUCUUCGGCAAAAUUUUUUAUGCUCAAACAAAUGGCUAUAGCGGCAUCAUCAUUCACCCCAGCCUGUCCAAAGCAUAUGGAGAAAAAUCUGUAAUCGACAAUAGCAUAGGGAACCGGACCACGUACCCCGCUGCUAUACCCAGUGAUAUUUUCGCCCCAAUUAAAAUUGACGUGCAUUUUGUCAGUUAUGAGGAUGGAAUGAACCUAAAGAAAUUUGUCUAUGAUGCCCGACCCUCAGCUACAACACAAUACCGCAUGGUUUCGGUAAACCGAACUCAGUACUACAAUUUGAUACAGUUGGUAUUUCUCUCCGGAUUCGGAUCGGACAAUGAAUCACCAGAAGUGCCAGAAGGGCUCUUUCCAGUUCUAACGUCACUGGGAUUGAAACUAAACACGACUAGCGGCAACUCGACUGCGUCCUUAUCCCAAGCCUCCAGUAGUGCUGGAUUGAUAGUUUGCGGAAUCGUGAUAGGAAGUCUUGUGUUAUGUUGUUGUUGCCCGUGCAUGCUGUGCACGGGCAACCUCCGCCCCUCUUCUGCUACAGAAACGACGCCAACACAACAAACUUCUGCUGAAGAAGCGGCGCCAGCACAGCAAGUUACAGCUCCUCAAACUGCUGGAGAUGCCGAGGUGGCUAGGAAUCUGGCUCAUCAGGAGCCUGUCGAUCAGACGGUUAUUGCAGCUUCAUUCUCUCAAGUUCGAUCAGAUGAAUCAGCUAUUAUAGCUGCCGGCGCCCCGCUGACAGCUCAGGAACUGCAGCAACUUUGCCAGAUACAUACCACCGAACCGACGGACAACGUGUGCCCCAUUUGUCAGCAGCUGUACAGCGUGGGCGAGUUGAUUGUCGUACUACCUUGCCUUCAUGCUGGACAUAACGCCUGCUUGGUACCGUGGCUGGCUACUUAUUCACGAAACUGCCCGUUGUGCCGAACUUCUGCGGCCGCGGGCGACUCCGUGUUGACCUAAAUCUUUUCUUUUAUUUCUUGCUUCAUUCGAAUAUGCUUAUUAUCAACUGUUACAGCGUUAAAAUCCGCAACCCUGGCUGGGCAUUGGACAUGGCUUCGAUUUGACUUUUGCAGCUUGAUAUUGGUACAGAUAUUUAGUAAACGAAAGCAUUGAAUGGAUGCGAGAAUGAACAUGGUUGGAAGAUCGUGCGAAGCCCCAGUCGCGUCCCAAUUGCAAUCGCGUUUUACAAUUACUCAACUAGGUGCACGAGGUUUCCAUUCCGGAGAUUUAUCCUCCAAUUAUACGCAUUGCUGCGUCGAUCCACGACAUCUUUUGCAACUUAGUGCAUCUACGGC